rnacentral:rRNA from 1 species
AGGAUGAACGCUGGCGGCGUGCUUAACACAUGCAAGUCGAACGAACCUUCGGGUUAGUGGCGGACGGGUGAGUAACGCGUGGGAAUCUGCCCUCAGGAGGGGGAUAACGGCUGGAAACGGCCGCUAAUACCCCAUAUGCCGAGAGGUGAAAUGAAUUUCGCCUGAGGAUGAGCCCGCGUCUGAUUAGCUAGUUGGUGAGGUAAGAGCUCACCAAGGCAUCGAUCAGUAGCUGGUCUGAGAGGAUGAUCAGCCACACUGGGACUGAGACGCGGCCCAGACUCCUACGGGAGGCAGCAGUGGGGAAUUUUCCGCAAUGGGCGAAAGCCUGACGGAGCAACGCCGCGUGAGGGAUGAAGGCCUCUGGGCUGUAAACCUCUUUUCUCAAGGAAGAAGAUCUGACGGUACUUGGGGAAUAAGCCACGGCUAAUUCCGUGCCAGCAGCCGCGGUAAUACGGGAGUGGCAAGCGUUAUCCGGAAUUAUUGGGCGUAAAGCGUCCGCAGGCGGCCUUUCAAGUCUGCUGUUAAAACGUGGAGCUUAACUCCAUCAUGGCAGUGGAAACUGUUGGGCUUGAGUGUGGUAGGGGCAGAGGGAAUUCCCGUAGUAGCGGUGAAAUGCGUAGAUAUCGGGAAGAACACCAGUGGCGAAGGCGCUCUGCUGGGCCAUAACUGACGCUCAUGGACGAAAGCCAGGGGAGCGAAAGGGAUUAGAUACCCCUGUAGUCCUGGCCGUAAACGAUGAACACUAGGUGUCGGGGGAAUCGACCCCCUCGGUGUCGUAGCCAACGCGUUAAGUGUUCCGCCUGGGGAGUACGCACGCAAGUGUGAAACUCAAAGGAAUUGACGGGGGCCCGCACAAGCGGUGGAGUAUGUGGUUUAAUUCGAUGCAACGCGAAGAACCUUACCAGGGUUUGACAUCCUGCGAAUCUCUUGGAAACGAGAGAGUGCCUUCGGGAACGCAGUGACAGGUGGUGCAUGGCUGUCGUCAGCUCGUGUCGUGAGAUGUUGGGUUAAGUCCCGCAACGAGCGCAACCCACGUCUUUAGUUGCCAGCAUUUAGUUGGGCACUCUAGAGAGACCGCCGGUGAUAAACCGGAGGAAGGUGUGGAUGACGUCAAGUCAUCAUGCCCCUUACAUCCUGGGCUACACACGUACUACAAUGCUACGGACAAAGAGCAGCAAGUUCGCGAGGACAAGCAAAUCUCAUAAACCGUGGCUCAGUUCAGAUCGUAGGCUGCAACUCGCCUACGUGAAGGAGGAAUCACUAGUAAUCGCAGGUCAGCAUACUGCGGUGAAUACGUUCCCGGGCCUUGUACACACCGCCCGUCACACCAUGGAAGUUGGCCACGCCCGAAGCCGUUACUCCAACCCUUGUGGAGGAGGACGUCGAAGGUGGGGCUGAUGACUGGGGUGAAGUCGUAACAAGGUAGCCGU